UGGCUUAGUUAGUAGAGCACGGUGUUUGCAACGCCAGGGUUGUGGGUUCAAUUCCCAC
rnacentral:tRNA from 1 species